rnacentral:tRNA from 1 species
AAUAAGAUGUCCGAUUUAAGGUCGUAAACUGUAAAUUUAUGUAUGGCUUAGCCUCUUAUUA